rnacentral:rRNA from 1 species
UUGAGGAAUAUUGGUCAAUGGGCGCAAGCCUGAACCAGCCAUGCCGCGUGCAGGAAGACGGUCCUAUGGAUUGUAAACUGCUUUUAUUUGGGAAUAAACUCCGGUACGUGUACCGGCCUGAAGGUACCAAAUGAAUAAGCACCGGCUAACUCCGUGCCAGCAGCCGCGGUAAUACGGAGGGUGCAAGCGUUAUCCGUAAUCAUUUGGUUUACAGGGUCCGCAGGCGGUCUUAUAAGUCAGUGGUGAAAGCCUACAGCUCAACUGUAGAACUGCCAUUGAUACUGUAGGACUUGAAUUCGAUCGAAGUGGGCGGAAUGUGACAUGUAGCGGUGAAAUGCUUAGAUAUGUCACAGAACACCGAUAGCGAAGGCAGCUCACUAGGUCUGGAUUGACGCUCAGGGACGAAAGCGUGGGGAGCAAACAGGAUUAGAAACCCGAGUAGUCC